rnacentral:lncRNA from 1 species
CUAUGUGGACUUUGCUGCUGAGUCAGUGUGAGACCUUGAACAAGUCUCUGUUUGUUUCGUACCAUUCAGAUUUCCUCGUCUGUAAACAUUAAGUAUCUACAUUCACUAAAAGUAGUUCUGAAUGAAUGUUAUUUAAUGGUGCCAAUGAUGUUGGAGGAUACCUGUGCAUCUCAUGCUGUGGUUACAGCAUCAAUUGUGAUGAAUAUAGGAUACUGAGUCCCUCCUAGAAAUGACUUCAGGAACUUCACCCCCCAACUCCACAAUCUGGGAAUGGCAGACAGAUUCAGCACCAGGAGAACAUCACAUAAAGGACAAGUGUGUAUGUUUAAAAAUGGCAAGUUUCGGCCUGGCAUGGUGGCUCACGUCUAUAAUCCCAGCACUUUGGGAGGCUGAGGUAGGUGAAUCACGAAGUCAGAAGGUCGAGACAAUCCUGACCAACAUGGUGAAACCUUGUCUCUACUAAAAAUACAAAAAUUAGCUGGGUGUGGUGGCUCACACCUGUAAUCCCAGCUACUCGGGAGGCUGAGGCAGGAGAAUUGCUUGAACCCAGGAGGCAGAGGCUGCAGUGAGCCGAGAUUGCUCGCUGCACUCCAGCCUGGUGAGAGUGAGAUUCCGUCUAGAAAAAAAAAAAAAAAAAAAGACAAGUUUCUGCUUGACUUAUAAGACCUAAUCCAAUGUAUUUCUAAAUCAAAUAACAGAUAGAUGAAGGCAUUUUUAAAGCAAUUAUCUCAGGUUUUCAAAACAGGUUUAAGAAUGCGGUAUCAAAGCCUGGACUAGGUUUCAAUAUUUCAGUAUUUACAGAUGACGUCUCAGAAAACAAAGAAGCCGUUAUUGACAAGUGCUUUCCAGGCCAAAGGCAAGUGCCAGGGAGUAUAGUGACAGUGGAUUUGCUGCCAAACUGAUGAUUUUUUCUUGUUUUCUUUUCAGCCCUAUUUGUCCUGGGCUCGGAAUGUUGAUGCAGCUAUUUCUAUUUGGUUAUGGGUAAGGAAACGCUGCAUUUAUCACUGUGCCUACGUUUUCCUUCAAAGAGGCACGUGUAACUGUGUUCAAUUGCAACUGAGAGCGUAUUUUAAAAAGGAAUUUGGCUUCAAUGUCAUUAACUGACCUUAAAUAAAUUGCUUGUGAGAUUUUACAAUAUUAAACUUAGCUCAGAAGAAAUGCUGAAAUUAGUAAAUAAUGAUUUUUAAGAACUUAUAUAUGUCAUCUUUUAAAAAACCUGCUACUUCAAAUAACUUCAAAGUGAGGAAAAGCUUUUAUCAGCUUUAGAGUUAAAAUGCAGAUGUUAAUCGCAGGUUAGGAUCUUGAUAAUUUCUAAAAAGACAAAUGCAGCAUUAUUUGUAAAAGUACAUACAGUCGUGUACAGCAUAACAACGUUUUGUUCAACGAAGGACCACAUAUACCAUGGUGAUCCCUCAAGAUUAUAAUGGAGCUGGCAAACUCCUGCCAACUCAUCAGGCAGUCGCCACUGUAAGACUGUAGCAAAAUGCAUUAGUCCUGUGUUCGUGGUGAUGCUUGUGUACACAGACUUACUGCACUGCCAGUCAUAUAAAAAUACAGCACAUACAAUAAGGUAUAGCACAUAAUACCUGACAAUGAUAAUAAAUGAUUAGGUUACUAGUUUAAUAUGCUAUAGUUUUUAUUGUUAUUUUAGAUUGUACUCUUUAUGUUAAUAUAUUAUUAAAAGGUCAGUUGUGAAACAGCUUCAGGCACUUCCUUCAGGAGCUAUCCAGAAAAAGGCAUUGUCAUCAUAGGAGAUGCCAGCUUAAUGCGUGACGUUGCCCCUGAAGACCUUCCAAUGGGGCAAGAAAUGUAGGUGGAAGACAGUGAUAAUGAUCCUGACCCCGUGUAGGUGUAGGCUAUUGUGUGGUUUGUGUUUUAGUUUUUAACAAAAAAGUUUAAAAAUUAAAAAAUUAAACAAUAUAAGAGCGCUUAUAGAAUACGGAUAUAAAAAGAGACAAUAUUUUUGUUCAGCUAUACAGUGGAUUUGUGUUUUCAGUGGAGUGUAAUUACAAGAGUCAGAAAGUUAAAACAAAGUGAAAAGUUUAUACUGUAAAAAAAGUUAUAGUGGGCUAAGGUUAAUUCAUUAUUGAUGAGAGAAAUUUUUUUGUACAUUUUGUGUAGUCUAAGUGUACAGUGCUUGUAAAGUCUGCAGUAGCAUACAGUAAUGUCCAAGGCUUUCACAUCCACUCACCACUCGCUCACUGACCCAGCCAGAGCAACUUCCAGUCCUGAAAGCUGCAUUCAUGGUGAGUGUCCUACACAGGUGCAUCAUUUUUAUCUUUUAUACCAUAUUUUUACUGUAUCUUUUCUAUGUUUAGAUAUGUAAAUACCAUUGUGUUACAAUUGCCUACAGUAUUCAGGACAAUAACAGGCUGUACAUGUUUGUUGCCUAGCAGCAGUAGGUGUGUAGUAGGCUCUUCUGUCUAGUUUUGUGAAAGUUCACACUAUGAUGUUUGCAUAACAACAAAAUCACCUAUGGAUGCGUUUCUCAGAAUGUAUCCCCAUUGUUAAACGAUGCAUGGCUCUGUGUGUGUAUGUGCAGGACUCUGUGUGUGUGGUAUAUGCAUACCACAUACGCACACAUCCACACUAUACUAUGCACUCUACAUAUAUACAACUACAUAGGCAAAUAUAAAGCUGCAUGUGCAUAAAUACACAAACAAACACACAUACAUAUGUAUAAAAGGUAAUGUAUUGAUAUUAAUACUGACAAUGUGUACUAAGCAUAUAUUUAUAUACCCUUAAAUGUAUAUUAUUUUAAUACAUACUAUAUUAUGUUAUAUACUAAUACACUUUUUUAAAACUGAAAGAAAUCUCGUUGCCAAUUUGUGUUUCUAAAUAUGAUGUCCAUAUUUUUUCUGAUUUUAUUACUAUAGCUGUGAUCACGUCAUGUAACUUAAUUUUGAUGAUGUUUCUCACAGUAUAGUUUGAGGGUAUCCAGCCUCAGAUUAUCUGAGGAUGUAGCUCAAGAUUUCCUAAUUUUGCAAACAGCAAGCUUCCCAGGAGAUUCUUAGAUUCCUGCUAACAAAAGGCGGAGACUCACUGGACAGUUACUGAAGAUAGACAGUAGGGGGCGGAAGGGCCCACGCUUCUUUGAUAUUGGUGGCUUUGGUUUUUCAGUGACGGGGGACACUUUGACUUCAGGUAUGUUCUGCAUUUAGAAUUUUCAAAUGAACGUUUCUUGUCUGUUCCCUUCUUUUUUCUGCCUCCAAACAUAAUGUCUAUCAUUGUAAAAGUAAUAAAAAAUCACUGAACAAAAUUUGGAAAAUACCAAAUGAAUAACAAUAGAAAUAAAGUAAAAAAAGAACCACUCAAAUUCCCAUCAUCAAGAAAUAAACAUUCUGAUAAUAUUUAAUUUUAUUUUCCUAUAUAUAUUGUGUGUGUGUAUAUAUGUAUGUGUAUAUAUAUACAUAUAUUCAAAAUGUAUUAUAACACAAAAUGUAUAAAAUAUAUAAUAGUAUAAACAAAAUUAUAUUAUAUAUGUCAUUUUCAUGUCAUAUGUCAGAUAUAGCAUAUUAAUACAUACCCAGUUUUCUAAAAUGCUGAUCUCUUUGAAAUAUUCAAUUAUCAAUUGUGUUUCUUUCCUCACUGAAGUUCCUUUUUACGACUUUUGGUAGUGAAGAGAUAAAGUUCAUUACAAAACAUGCCAGGCUUAAGCAAUUUUCCAAAGGGAUUAACGAAUUGCAGUGGCCGCAGGCUAUGUAAAAAUUUUUAAAAGGUGGUGUCUCUCAUAUUCUUCAGCAUAACUUGGGUCACAGAAACCCAGGCAUAAAAAUUCAUUGUGAACUCAUAUUCUACCAUGGCCUGACACUGGUAAGUUAUUUUGUUGCAAAAGCCUUAAGCAAUUUGAGAUGUCGAAGCACGUUUUCAAGAGUUAGCACAUCUCCAUUGUCUAUAAACUGCAUGCAUAUUUUAUGCCUAAAAAAUAUUUCAUCUUCUGAUUUUCUAGCUUUCUUCUGCAGGUUGUUUUUUUUUUUUUAGAAUAUUUUUCAAUCAUUUUAAUUCUCUAUUGUAAAACUUGGAAAUCUCUACUUAUGGACUGCCAAGAACAGUCUGAAAUUAAAUCAAUUUACUCUCACUCUUAGUGAAUAUUUUGGGAGUGCUAGGUAUUGAAUGUGUCCCCCAAAAGUUCAUGUGUUAGAAAUGUAAUCCUUCUGCCCCUAUGAUGAGAUGAAUGGAUGAAUGAGGGCUCUGUUCUCAUGACGGGAUGAAUGUUGCUGUCCCAGGAGUGGGUUUAUUAUCACAGCAGCGUUAUUCUUGUGCCUGUGAGCUCUCCCUGGCUCCCUUGCUCCCACUCUGAGCAUGUGAUGCCCUCUGCCAUGAGGUGAGGCAGCAAGAAGGCCCUCACAGAUGCCGGCACUGUGGACUUCCAGCCUCUAGAACUAUGAGCUAAAUAAACUUUUUAAUAUAAAUUACCUAGUUUGUCAUCUUUUGUUACCAAUAAGAAAAGGCAAUAAGACCGGGAGGUUCUAUUAUGAUGUCAUUCAUGGGAAAAUGGUAGACAGGACAGAAUCUUUGCUGGCUCCCUAGAUACUGCCUUGGAAUGUUACUCUUGGAAAACAGUGGCUACAGAGUGAUGCCUUUCUCCAUAACUUUAAUUUACCUUAAGAAAAGCUUUGAGUGCUACUGAGUCGGGAAUGAAAAACCUAGAGAAUGUUCUGUCCUGUGGGAGCAAGGAGUAUAGUUAGUCCCUGUAUUACUACCCAAAGGGGCAUGAGGCUUCACCCUCCUUGGGCUCCCUAGGGACUUAUAAUGCCUUCCUGUAAUUAUCGGGCCAGUUAAUUUAAUACUAAUCCACUUAAUUCAGUUAACAUCAGAUUUGUCCUAGGGAUCUUGUUACAUCCUUUUGUAUACUAAAAGAGAAAAAGAAAAAAAAAAAGAUUUGCUUCUCUUUCAAUAUUCCUGGGAAGUUGGAUAUCCACAUGGAAAAGGCAGAUCUCUAGUUCACAACAGAUAAAAAAUAAAUUUUACUCAAUGUGAAAUUAAAUGUAAAAAAUAAAACUUCAACAUUGUAGAAGAAAAUAUAGAAAAAGCUCUUUAGGUCUGUGAAGGAGAAAAGAAUUAUCGAAAUCAGGCCAUAAAGAAAAAGUACAAGUCAUAAAGGCAAUAAAUAUACAAAUAGAGUUUAACCUCUGAAACACUUGACCGAAUGUUCUGAGGUAAAAACAACAAACCAGCCAUUGAAGGGAAGAACAGAUUGACAGUGCAUAUAACACAGAAAGAAGUAGUAAUCAAACUAUUUAAAAUUGCCUAAUAAAUCAAAAAGAAAAGACCAAAAAAGGAAAAAAAAAAACAUUGAAGGAUAAGAAUAAGCAAUUGACAGAAGAAGAAUUUGUAAUGGUCAAUAAAGAGAUGUAGUAAUUUUUAAAUUAUAAUAAACAAUGGAAAUAAACAGAAUGCCCAUUAGCAGGAUAGGUGAAUAUACAUAUUUUUGUACGGUCAUAAACUGGAGCGUAUUAUUCCCUAGAUUUUUGUAUUUCUGAAAUUGUUUAUUAAAAUAGUCUUAGUCUCUCUAACAAUUUAAACAAAGCCACUAAAAGGACCUGGUGCUAUAUUGUAAAUUAAAAUUUACAUGCCAAUGGAAAGAAUUGAAUUAAGCAUAGUUCAGUUUGCAUUUUUUUGAAGCAAUGUAUUUUUAAAGACAAAAUAACUGAACUAAGAUAACAAUUUAUAUAAAAGAAAAUGGCUGUUUCUGCUAAAUAGCCUGUUGCAUUUGAAAUCUUUGCUAUCUCUGUGGAGACCAGGAGCAAUCUAAAUGGAAAUAAAGUAACUUUAUAAUUGUAAAUGUGUAUUUGAGUGAAAGCUAACUUUAGGGAAUAGUAGAGAGUAAACUGGGUAUUCACAGGUAAAGAGAGAUAAUUUCUAGAACAAAAAAUGUCAGCCAGAAGAAAUGGGCCAAAUAUUAGUGUCCUCGUUUGGAUUUUAAUGAAGUUGUCAAAUUUAUGGGCUAUGAUAACUUAUAAUGGGCAAAAGAAUGUUAAGUAGUCUAGAUGGGAGAGGGCAGAAAUUACAACAACAAAAAAAUUCAGACACCAAAUGAUGACACAAUCUUCCAAAUUAUAAAUCUGAUCUCAUUUUUAUUCAGUGACAUUUGAUAUCUCUCAACUUUCCACACUUUAAUAUAUUCAGUAGUAAAUUUGAUAGGAUUGAAAAAAAUGACACUAUAAUUCCAAAGUCUUUUGCAUAGAUCAUUUCUGAGAAUCUGUGCCUAACCUAACCUCAUUUCCAGAAACUUCUCAAGCUGCCCCAUGUCUCAGGUGAGUAGAAUGGAAAAAAAGACGCGAUUAACUGCUCUAAUAUUUUAUUUAAAUUUAAUAUAAGCAUUUGCCAUUAGUUUACAAGUAAAUGCUUUAAUACGUCAAGAUUCGUAGAGAAGAUUCUGAAUCUUGAAUUUUGUCGAUGACUCAGUGUUAUGGAAAAUCUAGAACAGCAGGGUCCCACCUCAUGGUGACAAGAGAUGGAAUGUCCUAAUCGUUUAAUUAUUGGUUGUAAAACCUAUCCCUUGCAAAAACAGGGAGGCUUUUACGACGGCAUUGUGUCUGCCUGCUAGCGCCCCAGGCAGCUUCGCAGAGCUUCCCAGUGCUGAUGAGAUGGUGGAGACUGCUUUUGUGAUGAUUUUCCAGAGUUUGUUUAUUCAUUUGUUCAAAUAACAUUGACUAUGUGGAAAUGAUUAUUUGGUGCCAUUAAGAGAUUGAUUGUGUCUCAUUCUUAAAAGUUAUAGACUUUAUAAACAAAUGUUAUCAUUAUAUUAAAUACUAAUUUAAAAUACAAUAACAAUUACAUUAUAAUAAAUACUAUAAAAAAAUAGAAAAAUUAUACAUCUUGUCAGUCCAAUCAACUGUAAAAUAAUAUUACAUGAGAUACUGCCAUAAUACUUUUCAAGUUUCAAAAUUGAAAUCGAUUAAACCUGUUUGAAAACCUAUAUACAUGCGUUAAGCAAGAUGCUACAGCUUAUUUCUCUACUAGCUGGCUGUGACUUUCCCUUUCGUUUUCCCUAUUUACUCUAUUAGUGAGGAGCCCCUUAUCUCGUAUUUUAGGUCCACAUUUGUACAUAGUUCACAACAGGAAUUAGUAAAUAAAAGCUGCUGACAGCAGUACUUUAAUUUCCCCCUGAAGCUCAUUCAUCUGGGAGGUAGCCAGCCUCUGUUACACCACAAAGACCUGGCUUCAAGCUUCCCGCCUUAUUUUAUGAGAACAUCAGCCUCUCAAGUCCAGCUGAUUAUUUUGUUUCUUAAGCUACAUCAGUAUAGAAACAGAAGGAAAAGUGGAGGAAGUUAGGAGAAUAGACCCUGAGUGUAGCAAGUAGUAAAGGUUGACAAUCUGCUGGAGGAAAGUCAGCAUGCAAAAGUCCAGAGAUAGCUAAAACACACAGUACGAGGGGGAGUGGACAUGAAGGGCAACCCAGACAGUCCGGAUGCUUAGCUGAGUGAGCAUCAGUCACCCCAAAGCCUGACUCAUCUCAAACACCUUGAUUUUCUCUACUGUAUACCCCACACCUCACCAUGAAUGGAGAGUUGCUGUGGUUGAUUUCACUCCUGAGUUACCAUUUCUACAGAUUUCACCAACAAGAACAUGAGUGAUUGUUUCAGUAUUGACCUAAACUUUGACUCUUGGGGUUGAGACAGUUUUCUCAAUGAACUGAGUUUGAACCCUGGUGGCAAGGUGGGUGCCAGGUGGUGUUGAUGGUAGGACAACCCAGAGCUGUGAUGACUCCCCAAGAGCACGGCCUAUGAAACCUCAUGGACUUGGCAUGUUGUUGAUGGAACAUCCAAAGCAUUGCAUGAGAUUCUCAACCAUAAGGGAUGGUCAAAAUUAGUGUCACAUAAGAAGGUACAAUCAAUUUUCACAGUCACUUCACUUUUAAGGAGGUAGAGUCAGAUGUCCUGGAAAAUAAGAGAAAACUAAGAGAAAAUGAAAAUGAAAGCCAAAAUGGAUCUCUUUGUGAAAUAUGUUCAGAGCAUUAGAGAGUAGAGUAAAAUGGUAAUUCACAGAACUCCUCACCCAUGAAAUGAAUAUCUUGUGAGCAGGUUAGUCUUUUUCCAUCUAUUGAGUCAGAAUCUGGGUGAGUCACACACUUCAGGUGACAGAUGCCAAAACACCCUCAAAAUUAACCAAAGGGUGCUGCUUAGCCUUGCAAAGCAAAUACAAAUAUUCAAACAAACAUCUCUCCAAAAGGCACCUCUCCACUUUCCGCUAACUAACCGUCUGUGCUAUGUCUUUACCUAGAGCCCCGUGCUUGGGAUGGGAACAGACGUGUUCCUGCGCAGCCCUAUUAUUUUCUUGUCAGAAGCCUGAUUAGAGUGAUGGAGAGGUUUAUAAUGUGUCCUGUUUUCCCCUGUAAAAAACACAUUUCUCCUAAAGCCAUUUAAUAUUUCAUUGCCAGAAUAUCCAGUGAUAUAAAAAUUCUGAAACCCUUUAUUUUCUGUUGUAUAGGUAAGAAAAAGAAAACAUCAAUUUACAGUUUACAUGUAAAUCCCACAGAUAGCACUUAAAAUCAAGUAGUAGAUAACAUAACCUGGCAGCCAUCAUAAUGCUCAGCAUUUUAUAAUUCAAAAAACAUAACAAUCAGGUUAAACAAAUAGUAUUUUUUAUUAAAUGUCACUCAAUCCCAGGGCUGAGAAUUCAUUUGUGUUUUCCUCCUAGACUCAAUCACCACAAUUGCAAUCAAAAGACGGCUUUAGUUGGAACCUGGAACGUGCUAAUCCUGUCAGGCAGCCUGUGAUUCUGGAAGUGAAGGAACAAAAAAAAAAAAAAAAAGGGAAAAUUUCACAUAAAAUUUCCAUAUGAGGAAGAAGAUGGAAACUUUUGUGUUGUGCGUUCAGUAAAACGGGCACUUUCUUAAGCAGGUGGCAAAGAAAGCCUGAGAAUCCGGCCUGACUUUUUCAUUUCAGAACCCUGCAUUUCCCACACAGAGGAGAUAGAGCACAGCCAUUGCAUGGUAGAUCCAGCUUGCUCUCACAGCCAUUGUGCAAAUAAACAUACAUGUGGCAAGGCAGUGCAGUUUUCAGUUGUUAAAAGUUCUGUCAUGCCACGAGAUGGAGCAAAGGAUAAACGCUGAUGUAAACAGGCAACAGGACUCUGACUCCACACCCCUGUCUGCACGGAGGAUGCUCAGUCCUUACACAACAAAAUGUGAGAUGCUUCCAGUCACCUCCUGGCCCUGACCCCUGAGCUCCGUGCUCACCCCACUGGAGGUCCUGGCAGUUCUCCGAGCAGGCUGUACCUGUCUGGGGUGAUCCUCUCCACUUAAUGUUAGACAUUAAGUUCCCUGUGAAAUCUGUUUUGACUCACUGAGGUUAUGAAUAUUUUAUCACAACUAUCAUCAUAUACUACCAAAUCUCCAAUUUUCUUAUCUCCAUUACUAGACUGUGAGCUCCCUGGAGGCUGGACCUGGGUUUGGCACCGAGUGGCACUCAUACAUACUUCUUGAAUAAGAGAAUGUAUGUACACAGUGGCAUGAAAUUGAUUUGAAUUUGUUGGUUUUCUUAAGUGCUAAAGUUGUAGACAGUUCAGUAAAAACUAUAAAGCGGUUACCCUGUAAACCAUGAGUACUAUUAAUUGGAACCUCCUUUCUUACAUAUCCACUUGUGUUUCUGUUAAUGUUUCCAAAAUAAAUAAAGAGCAGGCUAGAGGGAAACCUCCAGUCCUUAGAAACCACGGCACAAGAAUACAUCUGUAUUUGCACUCUGAGCAAGAGACUUCCUGUUGUUGUGUAUGUUUCAUUAAGAGAUCUGGGAAAAAUUAGCCUUGUACCAGGAUCUGAACUAUAGUUUGAAAGUGUUUAGUGGGUACCAAUGUUAAUGGCAUCAUUUUUGAAUGAUAUACAGGAUAUUUUUAAACACUUUCCUUCUGUUCCAUUUUUACACUUUCAUUAUGUUUGCCAGCAUUGGGCAGUUGGUUGCAUUUACUGAAGUUUGAAUAAAAAAAUCUAAGAUGAGUUACCAAAACACCUGCUAAACUCAUCUUGCAAGAUUGGUCAAUAAUAAUUUUUAUAUUAGAGUCUCCCCUCUCUAUAGACCUUCAAUAAUUAUUUUUAACAUCUGUUUUUCACUUCCAGUGUUAUUUUAAUUUUACUUCUAUAUAGGUUUCUAUGGAUGUCAGAUGUUCCAAAAUGAUUUUUAGUUGUCAUAAGCAAAAUUGUUGUCAUUUUGAUAAAAUUCCAACAGUGGAUUCCAAUUUGUUCAUUCAAAAAUAACAUAAAUUGCUGGCAAAAGUCAGUAGAAGAUAUUAUAUUUAUAUUUACAUGGAUUAAGCUGCCAGGAGUGCUAUCAGAAAAUUUAAAUUAACAUGGAAUGGGAUGAAAUUUCCCCAAGUCAAAGAUACCAACAGAGAGGCAAAGAGAGGUGGUCAGUGGUUAAAGACAGAUGAGCAAUUAAGGUACUUUCUUCUUAAUAAAGAUUGAGUUUGUACUUUGUCUUCUUGAAGUCUGGCAGAACAUUUCACAGUAGUGGUUGGUGUUUGUAGUUUUGGAUUUCCAUAUUUGAAAACUAUACAGUACCUCCAUCAGAUUUGUUGUAAUGGAUCCAAAUUUGGAAAGUUCUUUACAUAUUUAAAAUGAUACAUGAGUGGUUCCAGAUUCUCCAUGGGCCUGAUUUCUGGCUGACCAAGGGAAUCUCUAUUUGUGUCCUUCUCAGGGCUUAGAUGCCUGCUGUGCUCACUCCUGCCGAGAGGCACGGCCACCAUCUGCAGCUCCUGGCUGCACUUUCUAAACAGCUGCCUGGGUCAGUUCUUUUGACUAAGAUAUAGCCGAGUUGUACAGUUUACAAAUGAAUGGAAAAUCAUCACCCUACCAAGUCUUAAAUGGUUAUGACUCCAUCACUCAAGAAACUUCAGGAAUCAACAUUUGGUGAUCUGAAAUACACUGAAGCGUCCACGUAGUGAUGUUUGUGUGUUAGAUUCUGCUCCAUUUUCCAAUGUCUUCCCCCAUUUUCAGUCAACUCUUCAUCUCUGCAGUGGUGGCUUUAAAACAUGUCUACAAAUGCCUUGACCGUCUUUCCAGUGGGAGGCAGAGUCUAACUCCCUGUCCCCCGAAUGUGGGCUGGCCUUUGGGAAGAAAAGAAUAAGGUUGAAGUGAUGCUGCCCAACUUCUAAACCCAGUUCCUAAAAGCCAUUGUGAUAUUCUAAAUUGGUGUGAAGCCAUGAACGAUUCCACGUUUCCAUGGAAGAGCACAUGCACUCCUCACAUGUGCAGGUCUCACCUCGCUCCAGAUUUACAGUGUGCAGUAUUCAUAAGGUUUCGAAGUGGAAUGUACUGUAGAGCAUUGCAAGGUUAUUUAAUACUUGAGAGCCUACCAUUAGCCAGCUAAGGAAACGAAGGUAAGUCUAAAUGGAAAAGUUGUUCCCAGACUUCAGGGAGCAUAUGUUUUUGUAGGAAACAGGCAAUAAAAAUAAUCAAACCUUGGUAGUGUGCAAAGUGUUAGAAAGAAAAUAAAUAAGAUGAUGUAAUGGUAGUAGAGCAGGG